AUUGUCGAAAAUUGCCAAGCAGAGCGACCCGCGGACAUGUUGAAACAAAUCGUCGGGGGCACGGCGUCUAACGCGGCACGGUGCCCUCGACCGCCGGCCGAGCCCGCACCUUACGGCCUGCUCCAGGAGCGGCAACGGGGGUGCGGGGCAAGGCUUGGCACAAGAAUGAACCCCGGCGCGGAUCGCGCCAAGGAACGGUAACAUAGCGUGCGCUGCCUUGCCGCCGGAUGCCCGGCGAGCGAGGUGGCGACCUGUCGUAUCUGAACGACUCUCGGCAACGGAUAUCUCGGCUCUCGCAUCGAUGAAGAACGUAGCGAAAUGCGAUACUUGGUGUGAAUUGCAGAAUCCCGUGAACCAUCGAGUCUUUGAACGCAAGUUGCGCCCGAAGCCUCUAGGCUGAGGGCACGUCUGCCUGGGCGUCACGCAUAGCGUCGCCCGCGACCAAGCCACCGCGUCUCUGCAUGCUAGGUUGGGGCGGAGAGUGGCCUUCCGUGCGCCGUUGUGCGGCUGGCCUAAAAUCGGAGCUCGGCGACUGCGCCACGACGUCCGGUGGUCGACAAGGCGAAGGCCAAGGUUGCAUCGCGUCGCGCUCGGCACGUCGCCCGUGAAGCUCGCACGACCCCGCCGCGCCGUCCUUUCGGCACCAACGCAGCGACCCCAGGUCAGGCGGGGCUACCCGCU
rnacentral:rRNA from 1 species